rnacentral:pre_miRNA from 1 species
ACUGGGAUAGCUGGGUCAAAUGGUGAGUUCAUUUCAAGUUUUCUAAGGAACCUCCAUACUGCUUCCCAAAGUGGUUGCACCAAUUUGCAGUGCCACCAGCAAU